rnacentral:lncRNA from 1 species
CUCCCUCUACCGCCAGCCAAGAAGCCUGUGUGGCUUGUUUUUCUUUUAAAUCCUUAUGGCUCUGUCUGGGGCAUAGGCUGCCCCAUAGACCUGAUGGCAGAGGUCCUGAGUUGUGGGACUGAGAGCAGGAGGAAGGUCCUUCAGAAAUCCCCUGGAUGAUCACUCCAGCGUCCAGGGUUCCUGCUGCAGAGCAGAAGUCGCGUCCAUUCUUUCCAGUCUCGGAAGACAGUGGUGGAGACUGCCCCAGGGAAGGCUUUUAGUAAUUGCGGAGAAGCUCAAGGAUAAUGAGGGUUGAGAAAGAGUCUAGCCCGGGACUAUACUGCCACCUGGUGGUCAUGAUCACACACAGCAGCACGAAAUUGUGGGCACCUAUAGAGGAGCAGGCUGUUGAAGGGUACUAGGGCCUGGGAGGCUCUUAAAGAACAAGGAAACCCGUAGAUAAAGGAAUUUUAUGAAAGAUUAGGACUCCUCUAAGUCAGCUGAAACGCUCCCUUACGGUGGUGGCAGCUGACAUUUAUCGCGUGCUUGCUGUGUGCCAGGUAGGUUCUCGAGCCUUUCUGUGUUGUGCCUCUGCCUCUUAUGCUUCUGCCAGGCAAGCUUCUCUGGGGACAACCCAGUGGUGGCAAACAAUUGCCAUCUGCAGAGCUGGCCCCAGAAUGACAGCAGGAGCGAGCAGGAUGGGUAGAAGAUGGGAAUCAUGAGAGACAGGGUGGGGGGGUGGUAGAGGAGGCCUGAGGGCACCUGGCUUCAAGUUCGUCCUCACUAGUGUUGUCCUAGGGCUCCAGACAUCUUGGAAUCACAGUUCUUGGGGAAGCAGCCUCUGCCGUUCACGGAUAGCCCUCUUCUAGAGGGCCGGGUCUUUCCAGCAGACUUGGCAAGCACUGAACCCACUCAAUAGUAUUCCCAAUCAGAUGAAAACCAUAGCAUGCUUCUUCCUCUUUAGGGUUGGAAGCCACGACCCUCUCCCCCUUUGGUUAUUCUGUUGUACCUUUUGAGGCAGUCUUGAUGUAUAGUUAAGGCUGGCCUUGAACUCUGGAUCCUCCUGCUUCGGCCUCU